rnacentral:rRNA from 1 species
CCAAUAGCGUAUAUUAAAGUUGUUGCAGUUAAAAAGCUCGUAGUUGAAUUUCGGGAUCAAUAUGUUUGGUCGUGCCUCGGUACGUACUAGCUUAUUGGUUUCUCCUUUCUGAAGAACCAUGAUGUCAUUCAUUUGGUGUCGUGGGGAAUCAGGACUGUUACUUUGAAAAAAUUAGAGUGUUUAAAGCAGGCUCACGCUUGAAUACAUUAGCAUGGAAUAAUGAAAUAGGACGUUUGAUUCUAUUUUGUUGGUUUCUAGGAUCGACGUAAUGAUUAAUAGGGAUAGUUGGGGGCAUUAGUAUUCAAUUGUCAGAGGUGAAAUUCUUGGAUUUAUUGAAGACUAACUACUGCGAAAGCAUUUGCCAAGGAUGUUUUCAUUAAUCAAGAACGAAAGUCAGGGGAUCGAAGACGAUCAGAUACCGUCGUAGUCUUGACCAUAAACUAUGCCGACUAGGGAUCGGACACUGUUACUUUAUUGACGUGUUCGGCACCUUAUG